rnacentral:rRNA from 1 species
CAAAACAGGAAGGUCAUCGCUUCAGUUAUGAUGCUUGUCUCAUGGGAAAUUUAGAAGGAACACAACGCGAGAAUUUUUUGCAACACGGAUGUUUCAACCUCCAUCGUAGUCAGCAAAAUCAAAGAGGAAGCCCAUCUUUGGGCUUUGGCGGGAGCCAAGCAUUUGAGUCUUCUUAUGUCGCAGGAGUAG